rnacentral:rRNA from 1 species
UGCGCGGGGGUCCCAAAUAAUGCAGUCGAGCGAACAGAGAAGGAGCUUGCUCCUUUGACGUUAGCGGCGGACGGGUGAGUAACACGUGGGCAACCUACCUUAUAGUUUGGGAUAACUCCGGGAAACCGGGGCUAAUACCGAAUAAUCUGUUUCACCUCAUGGUGAAAUAUUGAAAGACGGUUUCGGCUGUCGCUAUAGGAUGGGCCCGCGGCGCAUUAGCUAGUUGGUGAGGUAACGGCUCACCAAGGCGACGAUGCGUAGCCGACCUGAGAGGGUGAUCGGCCACACUGGGACUGAGACACGGCCCAGACUCCUACGGGAGGCAGCAGUAGGGAAUCUUCCACAAUGGGCGAAAGCCUGAUGGAGCAACGCCGCGUGAGUGAAGAAGGAUUUCGGUUCGUAAAACUCUGUUGUAAGGGAAGAACAAGUACAGUAGUAACUGGCUGUACCUUGACGGUACCUUAUUAGAAAGCCACGGCUAACUACGUGCCAGCAGCCGCGGUAAUACGUAGGUGGCAAGCGUUGUCCGGAAUUAUUGGGCGUAAAGCGCGCGCAGGUGGUUUCUUAAGUCUGAUGUGAAAGCCCACGGCUCAACCGUGGAGGGUCAUUGGAAACUGGGAGACUUGAGUGCAGAAGAGGAUAGUGGAAUUCCAAGUGUAGCGGUGAAAUGCGUAGAGAUUUGGAGGAACACCAGUGGCGAAAGCGACUAUCUGGUCUGUAACUGACACUGAGGCGCGAAAGCGUGGGGAGCAAACAGGAUUAGAUACAGGGGUUAGUACGCGGCA